GACACUUUGGCGGAGUGGUUAACGCGCUGCCCUGCUAGUCAUAGAAAAGCGAUUAGGUUUAGGCAGUGUCUUCGGACGCGCAGGUUCGAAUCCUGCAGGUGUCG